rnacentral:tRNA from 1 species
GGAUGUAGCACAGUGGUAGAGCACUUGUCUAGCAUGCCUGAGAACCUAGGUUCAAACCCUAGUACUUCCA